AAUAUUUGCUCCAAAUUUGAUUACAAAUUUAAUUUUUGCAAGAAUCUUCCAUCUUUCUUUUUUCAAAUCUUAUGAACCCCGUGAAGGUUCGUUAGUAAGGAUGUUAAAUGAAAUAACUAUUAAGAACUUCAUAAGUAUUACGCGAUUAUAGAACGGCUUGAUGCUUUUUGCAACACUUGAAUCAUGUAGCAGCAGCGAAAAUCAAAGGGAAUGAACUCUGUUAGCACACUUCAGACAAUCUUUUGGCGGCUUUCGCUUCUGGUUUUUAAUUGGUUUGAUGUGAUAUUGGUCUAGUGAUCUUACUUUUGCUUAUAGGUUUUCAUAUGGAUUUUCUACGUUUUGUUUCUCUGGGCAGUUUAUUUUGUCCUACCUUAUUUUAAGGUAUUUCAGUGCUGA